GACGAAGGGGGCUAGCGUUGUUCGGAAUUACUGGGCGUAAAGCGAGUGUAGGUGGUUGUCAUAGUCAGGUGUGAAAGCCUUGAGCUCAACUCAAGAAAUGCACUUGAUACUGGGCGACUAGAGGACCGGAGAGGAUAGUGGAAUUCCAGUGUAGUGGUGAAAUACGUAGAGAUUGGGAAGAACACCAGUGGCGAAGGCGGCUAUCUGGACGGUUUCUGACACUAAGACUCGAAAGCGUGGGAGGCAACAGG
rnacentral:rRNA from 1 species